UACGGGGGGGGCAAGCGUUGUUCGGAAUUACUGGGCGUAAAGGGCUCGUAGGUGGCCAACUAAGUCAGACGUGAAAUCCCUCGGCUUAACCGGGGAACUGCGUCUGAUACUGGAUGGCUUGAGUUCGGGAGAGGGAUGCGGAAUUCCAGGUGUAGCGGUGAAAUGCGUAGAUAUCUGGAGGAACACCGGUGGCGAAGGCGGCAUCCUGGACCGACACUGACGCUGACAGCGCGAAAGCCAGGGGAGCAAACGGG
rnacentral:rRNA from 1 species